GCGGGCGUGGCGAAAUUGGCAGACGCACCAGACUUAGGAUCUGGCGCCGCAAGGCAUGUAGGUUCGACCCCUAUCGCCCGCA
rnacentral:tRNA from 1 species